GGACCCGUAGCUCAGCUGGUUAGAGCGUCCGGCUCAUAACCGGUAGGUCGCAGGUUCGAGUCCUGCCGGGUCCACCA
rnacentral:tRNA from 1 species